rnacentral:sRNA from 1 species
AUGUACAGAUCACUACAGAAGUUAGUCCAGGAUGCUGACUCUUGGGAUCUGCAACUCGAUCCAGCCCUAUUUGGGAUUCUCCAGGCCAUUUCCCGCACGACAAAGUAUUCUUCUUUCCAGAUAGCAUAUGUAAGGUCUCCUACACUUCCGGCAGAGAUGAAACUCAAAGAAAUGGAAACACCGAAAGAAGCAACAGAAGACAUUGUUGAAAACUUGAUGAAGUACAGGAAAACUUUACACGACAUAGUUGAGGAAAACAUCAAGGAUGCCCAGACGAAAAUGAAAGAAGAUCAUGGAAGAAAAGUUGCUGCCAAGAAUUCGUUUGCACCUAAGGACAUUGUGUAUAGGAGGAAUUGCCAGAAAUUGCAAAGGAAACAGUCAAAGCUAAAAGAACUGGAUUGGAUUGGGCCAUACACCAUUUCUGAUGUUUCAUCCAAAGGAGUUGCUACUCUUAUGGACAGAUCCGGAACAGUGUUAAAGUUGAAGUGCAGCGUUGGAAACCUCAAGUUAAAGAGGAGAAGACCAAGGCAUUUGAUGGAUCGAGUGAAAAAGCCAUCACCAGUGAUGACAGUUUCCACAGAGGAAACCCAGGAAAAUGAACAUCAGAGUGAUAAUAGGACCCUGCAGGGAGUCGGAGGAAGACUGAAAGAAUUCUUUGAUGCAGGACAUCUGGCAGCAAUCCAAACUUCGGUGACAUCCAAGGCACUACCAAAAAUCACCUUUCCAUUGCAAAUCCCUGAGUGUCAUGCCAACCCAAGACUGUCACUCACUGCUGAUACACAUGACGAGAAUGAAGACUUUUACGACCAUGUCUUCAAGAUUCUUUUGGCGGAAGUGAAGACUGAAGAUAUUCACACCAAUUUGUGUUCAGCAAUGUUAGCAACGGCAGUUGUGGUGUCCUCGUAUACCUCAAGGAUGCUGCUUCAUGAAACCAUGGAGACAAUCAAUGAAGUUCCGAAUCAUCUGGAAAAAGGUGUCCCUAAGACCAUUCCCCAAGUUGCCUGCAUCGAAGAAAUUGGUUAUUGGCUCCAAUUCCAUUACAGGAAAAGAUCUCCAUUGCCUCGAUGGUCAGAAUUGGCUGGAUGAUUCGAUCAUACAUGCUUAUCUUGGCCUCCUGCAGAGAGAGAGGACACUACUACAGAAAAAUGAAGACUUCAUUCUCCCUUGCUUUCUAAUGGAGAAAUGGACCAGGAGGGACUACCUUUCCUGGUUAUACCCAAAGGUGAAGUUUUCCUCCUAUGCCUUUAUCCUGAUGGCCAUUUGCAGCAACCACCACUGGAUUCUCUUGGUCGCCAGUGUGUCAAAGAAAACAGUUUUGGUGUUGGAUCCCCUAGGACACCAACAUCCGGACAUCGAACACAAGUGGAGGAAGUACAUGUACACGAGGGAAAGAUACAUUCCGGAAGGGUUGGAAAAAUGGAGCAGUGACCAUCAAGCUGUAAGUCGUCAAAGAGAAGGCAACAGUUGUGGCGUCUUUGUUCUUAUGUAUGCUGAAGCCAUUCUCUGCAACGUAAAUGUGCAGAUAAUGAGGCAG